rnacentral:rRNA from 1 species
UCAGUAACACGUAGUCAACCUGCCCUGGAGACAUGGACAACCCCGGGAAACUGGGAUUAAUCCGUGAUAGGUCAUCUCAUCUGGAAGGAGAGAUGGCAUAAAGGGGUGCGCGGGCUUCUUCCGUGUAUCUGCUCCAGGAUGGGACUGCGUCCGAUCAGGCUGUUGGCGGGGUAAUGGCCCACCAAACCUGUAACCGGUACGGGCCUUGAGAGAGGUGGCCCGGAGAUGGACACUGAGAGAAGGGUCCAGGUCCUACGGGGCGCAGCAGGCGCGAAGCCUUCGCAAUGCGCGAAAGCGUGACGAGGUUAAUCCGAGUGAUUCCCGCUGAGGGGAUCUUUUGUCGGCUGUAAAAAGGCCGGCGAAUAAGGGGAGGGCAAGCCUGGUGUCAGCCGCCGCGGUAAUACCAGCUCCUCGAGUGGUCGGGGCGAUUAUUGGGCCUAAAGCAUCCGUAGCCGGUUCCGUAGGUCUUCUGUAAAAUCCAGCCGCUCAACGGCUGGUCCGCAGAAGAUACCGCGGGACUAGGAGGCGGGAGAGGUGGGCGGUACUCCGCGUGUAAGGGUAAAAUCCUUUGAUCCGCGGAAGA